rnacentral:rRNA from 1 species
UGAGAGGAAGGUCCCCCACACUGGUACUGAGACACGGACCAGACUCCUACGGGAGGCAGCAGUGAGGAAUAUUGGUCAAUGGCCGGGAGGCUGAACCAGCCAAGUCGCGUGAGGGAAGACGGCCCUACGGGUUGUAAACCUCUUUUGUCAGGGAGCAAGAGGCGGGUCGAGACCUGCUGUGAGAGUACCUGAAGAAAAAGCAUCGGCUAACUCCGUGCCAGCAGCCGCGGUAAUACGGAGGAUGCGAGCGUUAUCCGGAUUUAUUGGGUUUAAAGGGUGCGCAGGCGGAGGCACAAGUCAGCGGUAAAAUCGCGGGGCUCAACCCCGCUCCGCCGUUGAAACUGUGUCCCUUGAGUGCGCGAAGGGUAGGCGGAAUGCGUGGUGUAGCGGUGAAAUGCAUAGAUAUCACGCAGAACUCCGAUCGCGAAGGCAGCCUACCGGCGCGCAACUGACGCUCAUGCACGAAAGCGUGGGUAUCGAACAGGAUUAGAUACCCUGGUAGUCCACGCAGUAAACGAUGAAUGCUAUCUGUCCGGCCGGAAUGACGGCUGG